GGGGAUAUAGCUCAGAGGCAGAGUGUUUGCCUAGCAUGUGUGAAGUUCUGGGUUCAAAUCCCAGUAUCAUUA
rnacentral:tRNA from 1 species